UUUCAUUGGUAAUUCUUGUAAUUUAGAUCAUGUUUUUUCAUAUUUUGGUUUCUUAAUAUCUAGGCCAAAGCCAAGCAAUAAAUAUCAUCCCUUAUAUGUCCGUAGAUGUCAACACGUCUGUUGAUAGCAUGCAAGUGCAAUUUGUUGAAGUCAUAUCUACAUCCCUCAGUUUUCUCACUCAACAAGCAUUCUUAUAGGAUGAUGGAAAUGCCAUAUUCUUAUUUUUCUUUCCUUUUCAUUUAAAUUAUAAAUUCAGAUAGCAUAAUUAGAUAAUUCCAGAGGAGAUCAGUUUUGUUUCUUUCAUUCUUUGGUAUGUUGAAUGGCUUGCAACGUUUUCGUUUGGCUUGUAGUCCGUUUUUAAGUUAAGAGGUGAUGAAAGAAAGCAGAUAACUUUAAUAAAAAGAUUCAAGGGUAAGUUGAUCCCAUCGUUGUUAUGUUGGAGGCAAUGUUAAUUUCUUUGAAUACACCAUCCAUUUGGGAUCUUGAAGAAAAUAAAAAAGUUAUAAAAGAUUGAGAAAAAGGGAUUAAGUGAGGAUGUUUCUGUUGUCUUCUAUCCUGUAAAUUUAUAAAAGUUUUAAUACUUUUGUUACUGUCCAAUAAUUGUUUGACAUAUGUUCAUUAGUUUCCAACAGAUUUUCUUUGUAAGAGUUA